UGCGCGCGAGUGGGCGCGCGUGCGCACGCAGGGGUGUGCCUGUGACCCCGCAAAGCACCAGAGGGUGCGUCUAAGACUUGGAUAUGUGCGGGACCGACCUCAGGCAUGGAUGCAACAGUGAGCCAGCCUAUCCGCCGAGCUCAUUAGAAUCACAAGACAACACAGGAGCCAUCAUCAGCUAACCUACCUUAUCUCCACUUGGAAUUCUGCACCCCAACUUUUGUCCUCAGCCCCAAGGUCUCAUUUGUGAGGAAACUUGAUCGCAUGACAUAAAAUCGGUGGCUCUGCACUGCACAACGUCCCUUCCACUCUGAACAAAGCCCUGAACUCUCUAAGGAGUCUGCAAGUGCAUAAUGUAAAACAUAACCCUCUGGGGAGACAGGGGACAGCAGCAUUUGGUGUCUCAAAAAGCAAUUAUCACCUGCACCCAAAUGCCUGACCCAGCUGCAGAAUCUCUCGCCUCACAGCCCGCAGGGAAGCUGUCCGCACCGUGGUUCGCAGCAGUGGGGCCAAGGAGAUGAGGAAGAUGUCACUUUUGCACAGUGCUCUUAGCAGGUGUAUUUUGGGCACGUCCAGAAGUCCGAUGCAGGCACAACAAGGCACCUGUAUGCAAGGACCAUCCCGUCAGAAUUCCAGAAGAGAAGUCCUUCAAAGUGUCGGGAAGGAAAAAUUCCUCCUCUACCCUUCAAGGUGUUCCAGCUGGUUCAGGAACUAAAUCAACAUGAGACAGACUAACCAGAGGAGAAAAAAAAACAAAAGCCAAAAACCAAAAAACUUCGAAGUUUUGUUACGUGUGCA